rnacentral:lncRNA from 1 species
UCAGUAUGUCACAAGUAGCAGGACCCCUGGAGAAGCCAAAGGCCCUAUCUGCAGGGCCUGUGGCCAGACAUGGCCUGGGGGCUCCUCAACCAUGAGGUGACAGUGCACUCAGGCUCCAGUGGCUUUGGCUCCCUCCUCUUCCUGGGCAGCCCCUCCAAAUCCACUUGCUGGAGCAGCCCUUCCCUGUAACUGCCCACCCCCUCAAAGCAAGGGUCUGCUCCAGCAUCCGCUCAUUCAUCCACAGAGAUGAGACACCCUGCUGCUGCCCCCAGAGUGGCCACUGUGUUCGAACAAGUGGGGCUCUGGCCACCCACAGGCACACACAUGAGGGAGAAGCCGUAGGCAUGUCUUGACCGUGGGCAGCUCUUUGCCUCCAUCUCACUGUUGGUCCAAUACCAGGAAAUCCACUCUGGUGACCGUCCCCAUGUUU